AACGAACGCUGGCGGCAUGCCUAACACAUGCAAGUCGAACGAGAUCUUCGGGUCUAGUGGCGCACGGGUGCGUAACGCGUGGGAAUCUGCCCUUUGGUUCGGAAUAACAGUUGGAAACGACUGCUAAUACCGGAUGAUGACGAAAGUCCAAAGAUUUAUCGCCAGAGGAUGAGCCCGCGUAGGAUUAGCUAGUUGGUGUGGUAAAGGCGCACCAAGGCGACGAUCCUUAGCUGGUCUGAGAGGAUGAUCAGCCACACUGGGACUGAGACACGGCCCUGACUCCUACGGGAGGCAGCAGUGGGGAAUAUUGGACAAUGGGCGAAAGCCUGAUCCAGCGAUGCCGCGUGAGUGAUGAAGGCCUUAGGGUUGUAAAGCUCCUUUACCCGGGAUGAUAAUGACAGUACCGGGAGAGUAAGCUCCGGCUAACUCCGUGCCAGCCGCCGCCGUAA
rnacentral:rRNA from 1 species